CCUACGGGAGGCAGCAGUGAGGAAUAUUGGUCAAUGGACGAGAGUCUGAACCAGCCAAGUAGCGUGAAGGAUGACUGCCCUAUGGGUUGUAAACUUCUUUUAUAUGGGAAUAAAACGUUCCACGUGUGGGAUUUUGUAUGUACUAUAUGAAUAAGGAUCGGCUAACUCCGUGCCAGCAGCCGCGGUAAUACGGAGGAUCCGAGCGUUAUCCGGAUUUAUUGGGUUUAAAGGGAGCGUAGGUGGAUUGUUAAGUCAGUUGUGAAAGUUUGCGGCUCAACCGUAAAAUUGCAGUUGAAACUGGCAGUCUGGAGUAAAGUAGGGGUGGGCGGAAUUGGUGGUGUAGCGGUGAAAUGCUUGGAUAUAACGAAGAACUCCAAUUGCGAAGGCAGUUCACUGGACUGCAACUGACACUGAGGCUCGAAGGUGUGGGUAUCAAACAGGAUUAGAUCCCGUGUAGUC
rnacentral:rRNA from 1 species